rnacentral:lncRNA from 1 species
CUCCUUCAAAGAGAUCAUAUCAACACUCCCAAGAAGAAAAAGCUGGUAUGGCGAUGAUACUUUUUUGUAUCAAGGCUUUUGGUGUGACACAUUUUUUAUUGAAGGAUUAAUGAGAGCUCAACAAAGUUUUCGAUCUCAACCUUCUGAUAUCGUCAUAUGCAGUGCUAUGAAAACCGGAACAACAUGGUUAAAGUCCCUCACUUUUGCCAUUGUAACAAGAUCCACCUUCGAUGAUUCCACUAACCCUUUAUUUAACAAUCUAUCACAUGAUUGUGUACCCCUUUUAGAGGUUGAUUUAGCCCAAUCUUCCACCAAUCGAGACCCUAAAAAUCCUUUGUUAGCCACACAUACCCCUUACUCUUCUUUACCAAGAUCAAUAAUUGAUUCUAGUUGUAAAAUUGUUUACAUUUGUAGGGACCCUAAGGAUUCAUUAGUUUCGCUUUAUCACUUCUUUGCUAGGUACUUGGCAUCUAAAGACAUGAAACCUCCCGCUUUAGAAGAGGCCUUUGAGCUUUUUUGCCAAGGUGUAAGCUCUUACGGACCUUAUUGGGACCAUGUUCUAGGGUUUUGGAAAGCAAGUUUGGACCGACCUGAUAAGAUUCUUUUCUUGAAAUACGAAGAAAUGAUAGAAGAUACUAUUUUAUACGUUAAGAAAAUAGCUGAUUUCAUCGGUUAUCCUUUCUCUUUUGAAGAACUUGAAAAAGGAUCAGUCGAAAAAAUCGUAGACAUGUGUAGUUUCGAGAAUUUAAGCAAUUUGGAAGUGAAUAAAAGAGGAAAACACCGUGAGGGAACUCCAGCGGUGAUUGAAAACAAGAUGUAUUUCCGAAAAGGUAAGGUUGGGGAUUGGGAGAAUUAUUUGACACCUGAAAUGGCUGCUCGGUUGGACUCGAUAACGUUGCAGAAGCUAAAUGGUUCUGGCUUAACUCUAUGAUUGAAUAAUAAAGCAGCCAUGGGGUACAUUUUGCCUUCUCUGCAAUUUCGACAUAUUAUGUUUCUAAAAAUAAAUUGUGUAUGCUUUUUGCAAGUAGCAACACUUCUCGUGUUGUUCAUGUUAAGAUCAAUUAAAAGUAUAGUUGGUUCAAUCAAUAAAAUUUGAUAUAAGCUGAUUUGAUUUUGUUAGUUUAAUUUUUAUGGAUAAACUACACCAACUCUCCUAAGCUUUGUAUAAAAUUACAUUUCAGUUAUCCAACUUUCAAAAUUUAUAUCAUAGUCACUAACAUUAUCAAAUUGUUACAUUUUUGUCACUCGACUGUUAACUUUAAAGAAGUAACGUUGCACAUUAAUUCAAAAGGUUAAUAGCUAAUUUGGUCCCUGAACUAUAGUUAAAAAAUUAUUUUCACAUUUAAAUUUUUUACAAUAAUUUUAAAAAAGUAAAAAAAAAAGUCUUAAAAAUAAAAUUCAUAUAAAAAACCAGUUGCAGCGAGAAACAACUAAGAAUUUUGCUACCGUCUUUGCUCUUUUUUUCUUUUUUUUUUUCCUCUCUUUUUUCAUGUAGACCGAUGUUGGCUCUUCUCUUCCCAAAUCUUUAAAAAUAAUAUAUAGGUUUUAUUUAUAGCUAAAAGAAAAAUAUUGACUUGAAAAGGUCGGUUUGGAGAAGAAGAAUAGCACUUUGUAUUAUAAAUUUAAAAACAAAACCCAAUCAGUGUAACACCCCAAACCCAACCUAGACGUUGUGACCGAAUCUUAAAAGUUACAUUAACUUCUUGAGAAUUUAGAUUGUUAUUUUCUGAAAUUUCGACUUGUUUUUCUGUAAAAGUAAAUUCUUAGUAAAAAAACUCGUUUUCACUUAUUAGUUGCAAAAAAAAAAAAAAACACCAUUCUACAAUAACGGUUUCUUUAAAACAUUUGUUCUUUACUCGUAAAUUGAAAUAAUAGAAAUACUGUGAACAUGCUUAUUUUUCAGAAAACUAGAUUUCUCAUUUUGUUUUGCAGCGGAAAAACUUUAACUUGUUUAAUUUUGAAAAUCGAACAUUUUUUUUAAUUAACAGAAAUCAUGUAGAAAAUUUAAACUAAUUAACUAAAAACUCAACAAAACCCAAAUCCAAAAAAAAGUUCAAAAAUUAGUUCUACAGUAAAAAGCAUAGUUGAUUGAAUAUGUGAAAUGUGAUUAAAAACAACAUGUAAAAGAAAAUGCGAAAUGAUUUAUAUGAGUCCGAAGGAUCGAUAUGAAAGUUAAAAAAAAUCAAUAGAUUUGAUAUAGAAAUGAUAUGAUUAAAUGAUAUGAUUAAAUGAUAUUUUUUUUAUAGUGGAAAAAGUAGCAUGGUAUGUUAUAAUGAUUUGCCGAUUUGCAUAAUGUAUGUGUCGAAACAAUUUUUUUUAUAAAACGGGAUCGAUUUUAAUUUUGAAAAUGAAAACGAACAUGGGAGUUGCCACCAAUCCUUUUUAUUUAGGUGUGAUCGGAUCACUUUAUAAUUUAAUCAUUUUAAUAAAAGUUUUAAAUUUACUAAAACGAUAAUUUUUGGUCUACAAAAUCCAGAAAAUGGGUUCGGGAGUCAAUUACGCACGAGGAAGGGUUAGCACGCUCGUAACGCCCAGAAAUUGGUACCUAGUUGAUUAAUUAGUGUCUUAGUGUUGAGGAUUGAAAACUUUGAAGAGUUUUAAAAAUACGAUCCUUAAGAAAAACUCGAAUAACAUGGGUUAGAAUUUAGGAUUCUCUUGUUCUGAAGGAAUAUCACAUCCAGCACGUUAGGAUACAAUACUUUAAACCCUCGAAACCAAGAUUACCUUAUGGUUUCCAAAACCCAUAUUUUUGAAAUUUUAAGAGGAUAUUUGGCUAUUUUGUCGAACGAGAAAUUGAAACCCAACACGUUAGGGCACGUUUUCUCGAAUUUCCAAACGUAAAAUAUUGCCUUAUUUUAAAACCCUUUUUUUUUGAAUAAUAGCGAGUACAACACUUGAACGACAUACAUUUGUUUUAUUUAUGAUAAAACAUAAAAGUUUAUUAUAGGUAUAUACAAAUCGAGCGCAACUUUUGAAGUGAUGAAAUGGAAUGAUAAUGGGCCAUAAAAUAACAACUAACGAAUAAAAUGAUACAUUAAUGCAUGACAAGUAUACGAAAACACGAAUAAAUGAAGCAUAGUUCCCACAAUUACAAUAAGCACAGAACAUAUAACAUUUUAAUACCAACAUUAAUAAAGAAAUAAUAUAUGAAAUAAUUUGAAGUAAAUAACAAUAUAAAAUAAGUGAUUUAUAAGAACAAUAAAUAAUAAGGGUUUCAAAUAAACAAUCAAUAGGAAUCUUAAAAUAAAUAAUAACAAAACAGUUUAAAAUAAAUAAAUAAGGUAUGGAACAGUUUUAAAGAAUAUAUGAAAAUUUGAAAGGCAUAUAUAUAUAUACAAUUGAUAAUAUAAAUAUUAUGUAAAACCGUUUAAAACAAAUAAUGUAUGGAACUUAAAAUUAAUAAUGCUAACGAGCCUUCUUUUUUUUAAAAGAAUGAAUAAAAUAAAUUAAAUGGGCCUAGGACGAAAUUGAAUUCGAAUUAAAGAGUCAGGUCUAAAUUAAAAAAAAAGGCCGCCGAGGAUCAAAAUAAGACGCGCCCGAAGAACGAGGGACUUAUUGGGAAAAUAUUCCCUUCCCUCAUGCGCAACGUUCAACACGGACCAGAUUGGAACGAACGGAAAAUCAUGCGGCCCAAAUAAAAAGACAACAUGGAUUAGAUUGCACCACAGCGCAAAAGCGGAGGGACCCCUCACAUAAAUAGACCGUCCAAGCUAGAGGUGCUCAUGGGUUGGGCCGGGCCGGGUUCGGGCCGGGCCAUAAAAAAUUUUGUCCCGGGUCCUACGCCUGGGCUUGGCCCGAAAUAUGGGCCUGAAAUUUUGCCCAUGCCCGGCCCGGGAAAAAUCAUAAUCCCGGGCCCGGCCCAUUUUUUAAUAAAUACCAAAAAAUUAUUUUAAAAAUUAAAAAAAGUAUUUUAAAAAUAUUUUAAAAAUAUUUUAAAAUUAAAUUAAAAAAUUUUAAAAAGUAUUUUAAAAAUAUUUUAAAAUUAAAAAAGUAUUUUAAAAUUUAAAAAAUAAAUAUAUUUAUUAUAUCGGCCCGGCCCGGCCAAAAAAGUUAUGCUCGUUUUUUUGCCCAAGCCCAUAUUUCGGGCCUAUAUUUUUACCCAAACCCUCCCAUACUUCGGGCGGGCCGUCGGGCCGGGCCAGGCCGCCCGGCCCAUGAGCACCUCUAGGCCAAGCAAAACACACGGAUCCUGCUACUGGGUCGGGUCGCGCGCGCGAGUUAAGGGCCAAAACGACGUCGUUUUGGCAACUGAACCCUAACUUAGAAAAUGGCGCCGUUUAAUAACCUUAUUUAAAUCAUUUUUUUAAAAAAAUUCAUUUUUUCAGUGUUUAGAGAAAAAAAAAACUUCAAAACCUCCCAUAUGUCUCUCUCAACCCCACUUGGCCAGCGUGGGUUCCCUCGGAGGAUCUGCCGCACCGCCAUCUGCAACUCUCGACUCAACAAUGUUUGUAUAGUUCCUUUACGUUUUGAUAUAUGACAUGUACUUAAGUUUUGUAUCUUGGAUGGUCAUUUGGAAAAUUGGAUAGUUGAUGUCAAUUUGAAUUUAUGAAUAUGAAAUGUUUAAGUUAUCAUGAACAUUAUGUGAUGUUUAAAUGGUUAAGUGGUGUAAACGAUCAUAUGUAUUAAGUUAGAUUUGAGUUAUGAAUGGUUAAAUUGAUAAACAUGAAUGAUAAUGACAUAGCAAAGGUAGUAUAUGAAGUGUUGAUGUAGGUAUUAUGCUUGAACGGAUUGGUUUCGCAUUGGUUAUUUUGGUUAGGUUAGUAUGGAUUGGUUCCAUAUAAACAUUUCAAAACAGUAUGUCAUGUUGUAACAAGAAAUCGAUAGUGAAUGAUGUCGCGACUUGGAAUCUCCCAAGUUGUGACGUCAACUCGAUAGUUUUAACAUUUUAUAUUUUAGUCCUUAAACGACCUUAGGUUAUCGAAAAAGCUUUCGUAUGCUCGUAUAAACCUUGAAUAUGUUUGUAUAAUAUGAUAUAAUGAUGUAUUGAUCAUAAUUACAUGUAUCAACUGUUGAAUUGAUAAAAUUUAGAUCGUAGUUGUUCCAACAACGAAUGUGACAUCCCAUAACUUGGACCUGAGAUCAAGUUGGUAUGGGGUUUACAAGAAAGGUGGGUUUCGAGAAGAAGAAUAGCACUUUGUAUUAUAAAUUUAAAAACAAAAACUCAAUCAGUUUAGUAAAUGGAGUUAGAGAAGAAAUAAUGGGUUUAGAAAAGAAGUAGAGUACUUUGUGUUAUAAAUUAAAAGAAAAAAAAAUCAAAAAUUUCAAAAAAUUGAAACUUACCAAAGAGUCCAAAUAAAUAUAAUAUAAUAAAACAUUUUGCUUUUCUCUCUUGCUCGAUAGGCCGUUGAUGAUAGAAAUUUUUAUGAUUCUCAAGAAUGAAAGCACUGUUACCCAAGCCCUGAUUUUGUUUCCUGGAAAUUCGAGCAGCAACAAUCGGUCUAAUAAUUAUAACUAGUUAGACUUUUCUAGUUAAUAAAAGACUAUUACGUACCAAUUUUAUAAACUACUAACAAUAUAUAUUUGACAGUUAAAAGUUUUAUUUUACAUAAAACGAAUAUUUAGAAAAUUUUAAUUUAUAUCAAUCUUGACAUACAUGAUCUAUAUGAAUGGAGUAUGAAAUAGGACGGUGAGAUUGUUAAAAUAAAAAUUGUAUAAAAAGUUACUAAAUUAUGCAAAACCACUUUAAUUUUACACCCGUGUAAGUGAAUCUCUCCUCUUAUUUUAUUUUUUAAGUAUUAUAUUAAUAAUUUUUAUCUUACAUGUUUUAUUUAUGUUUUCUGGGUACAUGUUUUAUCUUAAGAUUUGUAUAAUUCUUUACACAAUUAUAAUUCAUUUUACAUAGUUAUAUAAAAUCAUUAAUUUUACAUAAAUUUUGAUAUAUUAUUAUAUUUUGGUUUAGGUUUAUUUCUAUGUGACAUGAUAAUUUUAAUUAUUUAAUUUUUUUUAUCUUCGAAUAAUUUUGUCAAAUAAUUUAAUAAUUGAAUCAUUAUAUAUAGUGUACAAAUCAUAAUAAAAAAUUAAUCUAACUUUACGAAGCAUAAUGAGCAGGUAUAUUCUAGUGAUAUAUUAAAUAUAUUAUAUAACUCUUUUACAUACUUUUUUUACCUUCAAAAAGUCAAAAUCUUGAUCAUUUUAGUCUCUUUUUUUUUAUUAUUAUCAUUUUAGUUUUGAAUCAUCAAAUUUCAAUUAAAUUACCUUUUUUUUUGGACGUAAAAGGUUCACCUAACAAGUAAACUUUUAAACGUGAUAGCCUGUAUAGUAGUGCAUGUGUAUUUUAUUGUUGACGUGGAUGAUUAUUUUCAAAACUUUUAUGAACUUUUUGAAUUUUUAUUUUUAUUUAAUUUAUGAAGUAAGCGCGGACUUUCAUGUGUGUCACCAUGUCACUUCCGUUAAAAUUUUAAUAGUUCAAUUAAUUUUUCCGUUUAAAGAAAAACAAUUUAACAAAAAUUUGAAAAUUUAAAACAAACCGAUCCAAAAAAGUAUCAAGACAAAUGCAUUUAAGAAAAGAGAAAUUAUUUGGUAUACUGCCAGUAGAGCUUUUAUACUCUACAAGCAAAAUCAGGAGUUAAUAAGUAUCCUAUAGAAAAUACCAAUUUUUUAAGAUUACUUAUAAAAAAAAAAAUACACUUCACAGUUCACCCCAAUUAUUGUUAACAAAACCUGAUUCCAAAUCUUUUAAAAUAAUACAAAAAAAUCUAUCAACUAGAUUGUUUAGUGACAAAAUCUUGCAUGGGACAGACCUUGACAAUGGGUAAAUAAGCACUAGCUACAUUUUUUAUUUAUUUAGUCCCUAUAAUUCUAUUUCAAUUCAAGAAAUUACGUGGUGGAUAUAAUAAAAAAUUGUUAUUAAAAGCAAAUAAUUUUCGUCACUAAGUUCACAUGGUUCAAUUACAAAAAAAUUAUUGUGUAAUUGUGAAAGAAAUUACCUUUUCUCUAAAGCUAUUUAUAGACCCAAUUUUUGUCAAAAUAUUUGCACUCAUUUCCCCCUUCUUUUUCCUUUAUGAAAAUGGCCUCCUUCAAAGAGAUUAUAUCAACUCUCCCAAGAAGAAAAAGUUGGAAUGACUCAAAUAACGACUUUUUUUUGUAUCGAGGCUUCUGGUGUUACUCAUUUUUCAUUGAAGGAGUGAUGUCGGCUCAACAAAAUUUCCAAUCUCAACCUUCCGAUAUCGUCAUAUGCAGUGCACCGAAAACUGGAACAACAUGGUUAAAGUCCCUCACUUUUGCCAUUGUCACAAGAACCACCUUCGAUGAUUCCACUAACCCUUUACUUGCCAAUCUAUCACAUGAUUGUGUACCCUUUUUAGAGGUUGAUUUAGCCCAAUCUUCUACCAAUCGAGACCCUAAAAAUCCUUUGUUAGCCACACAUGUCCCUUACUCUUCUUUACCAAGAUCAAUAAUUGAUUCCAGUUGUAAAAUUGUUUACAUUUGUAGGGACCCUAAGGAUUCAUUCGUUUCGUUUUAUCACUUCAUUGCUAGGCGCUUGGCAUCCAAAGACAUAAAGCCCCUUGCUUUAGAAGAGGCCUUUGAGCUUUAUUGCCAAGGUGUAAGCAAUUAUGGACCUUAUUGGGACCAUGUUCUAGGGUUUUGGAAAGCAAGUUUGGACCGACCUGAUAAGAUUCUUUUCUUGAAAUACGAAGAAAUGAUAGAAGAUAUUGUUUUUUACGUUAAGAAAUUAGCUGAUUUCAUCAGUUAUCCUUUCUCUUCUGAAGAAAUCAAAAAAGGGUCAGUCGACAAGAUCAUAAGCAUGUGUAGUUUUGAGAACUUAAGCAAAUUGGAAGUGAAUAAAAGUGGCAAACACCGUGAAGGAACUCCAGGGGUGAUUGAAAACAAGAUCUAUUUCCGAAAAGGUAAGGUUGGGGAUUGGGAGAAUUAUUUGACAC